rnacentral:rRNA from 1 species
CUACGGGCUGCUCCAGUGGGGAAUUUUGGACAAUGGGGGCAACCCUGAUCCAGCCAUGCCGCGUGAGUGAAGAAGGCCUUCGGGUUGUAAAGCUCUUUCAGCCGGGAAGAAAUCGCAUGGGUUAAUACCCUGUGCGGAUGACGGUACCGGAAUAAGAAGCACCGGCUAACUACGUGCCAGCAGCCGCGGUAAUACGUAGGGUGCGAGCGUUAAUCGGAAUUACUGGGCGUAAAGCGUGCGCAGGCGGAUGCUUAAGUCAGAUGUGAAAUCCCCGGGCUUAACCUGGGAAUUGCAUUUGAAACUGGGUGUCUAGAGUGCGUCAGAGGGGGGUGGAAUUCCACGUGUAGCAGUGAUAUGCGUAGAUAUGUGGAGGAACACCAAUGGCGAAGGCAGCCCCCUGGGAUGACACUGACGCUCAUGCACGAAAGCGUGGGGAGCAAACAGGAUUAGAUACCCCAGUAGUC